rnacentral:rRNA from 1 species
AGUGAACGCUGGCGGCGUGCUUAACACAUGCAAGUCGAACGAGAACGGAUUAUAGCUUGCUAUAAUUGUCAGCUAAGUAGCGCACGGGUGAGUAAUGUAUAGAUAACCUGCCCUCCAGAAAGGAAUAACAGUAGGAAACGACUGCUAAUGCCCUAUUUGCCUUUAAUACCUAAGUAUGCAGGGCAAACGCUUUAGUGCUAGAGGAUGGGUCUGUAUGGUAUCAGCUAGUUGGUGAGGUAAUGGCGAACCAAGGCUAUGACGCCUAACUGGUUUGAGAAGAUGAUCAGUCAAACUGGAACUGAGACACAGUCCAGUCUCCUACGGGAGGCAGCAGUGGGGAAUAUUGCACAAUGAACGAAAGUCUGAUGCAGCAACGCCGCGUGGAGGAUGACACAUUUCGGUGCGUAAACUCCUUUUAUAUAGGAAGAUAAUGACGGUACUAUAUGAAUAAGCACCGGCUAACUCCGUGCCAGCAGCCGCAGUAA